rnacentral:rRNA from 1 species
UACAGAGGGUGCGAGCGUUGUUCGGAAUUACUGGGCGUAAAGGGCGCGUAGGCGGCCCGCUAAGUCGAACGUGAAAUCCCCGAGCUCAACUCGGGAACUGCGUCCGAUACUGGCGGGCUUGAAUCCGGGAGAGGGAUGCGGAAUUCCAGGUGUAGCGGUGAAAUGCGUAGAUAUCAGGAGGAACACCGGUGGCGAAGGCGGGUCUCUGGGCCGAUACUGACGCUGAGGAGCGAAAGCGUGGGGAGCGAACAGG